rnacentral:rRNA from 1 species
UAGGGAAUCUUCGGCAAUGGGGGGAACCCUGACCGAGCAACGCCGCGUGAGUGAAGAAGGUUUUCGGAUCGUAAAGCUCUGUUGUUAAGGAAGAACGAGUGUGAGAAUGGAAAGUUCAUACUGUGACGGUACUUAACCAGAAAGGGACGGCUAACUACGUGCCAGCAGCCGCGGUAAUACGUAGGUCCCGAGCGUUGUCCGGAUUUAUUGGGCGUAAAGCGAGCGCAGGCGGUUAGAAAAGUCUGAAGUGAAAGGCAGUGGCUCAACCAUUGUAGGCUUUGGAAACUGUUUAACUUGAGUGCAGAAGGGGAGAGUGGAAUUCCAUGUGUAGCGGUGAAAUGCGUAGACAUAUGGAGGAACACCGGUGGCGAAAGCGGCUCUCUGGUCUGUAACUGACGCUGAGGCUCGAAAGCGUGGGGAGCGAACAGG